CACUAUGUCCUUUUCCGGGAUUCAGAGGCUCCGACGUGAUCGGGGCAACGUUAUCACAUUUUACAGCCUUGAUUCGUCAAGGAGACCCACGCGGCCCCUCUGUCUGAGCCAAACAGCAAAGGUUUUAGACUAAGUCCCACCCCCCUGUGUCCGGAUAGGUUUAAAAGGGUAAAGGUCCAGGCAAACCUCUGCCCAUGCUACCAUCUUCUCGACCAAUCAACAUAGGUUGCUGUGUAUGUUUUUGGCGGCGGGAGAUAAACAAAGAGAAACAGAGAGACGAGAGAGUAAUACUAAAGAAGAGUAAUUCUGCCAGCGUAAGAGAAAUAAAUACAACACGAGAUAUCUAGAUACAGUCACACACACACACAAAUACACAUACAUACACACACACACAUAUCCCAAGACAAAUUCAAACCAACAUGUCAAAACGGCGUUACACUACGGAAGAAGCCGUAGAAUUUAUUUUGUCUGGCGGACCGCUUAGCGAUGCAGCGGUGGAUUCCUCAGAUUCUGAAGCUGACAACUGGCAAGGAAGAGGAGUAUGAUCACGGGAUUGAUCCCUUCGAAGAUAAAAAAUACAGAGGAUGAGAGAGGGGAUGCACAAGCCCCUGUCCCCAUCAGUAGGCCUCCUUCAAACCGAGAGGGAAAAGAAUGUGGCCAGGAGGGUGCAGCAUCCAGAAAAAAGGCCAAACCAAUGCCAGCCCCCCUGACAGUGAAAGGGAGAGGAAGAGGGAAAGGGAAAAAAACAUCUCUGACCCCAGAAGAGCCAGGAGCUGUUUGGAACGGACCUGAGGUGCCAGAUACUACCACACUUUUGCCCGAAAAGAGCCCCUGGAGUCCAAGGUUUUGUUGGUGUGGAGUAUACUCCUGCACAAAUAUUUAGAAAUUGUUUUAACAACCAAGCUGUAAAUAUCAUCUGCAAGAACACAAACAAAAAUGCUGAAAAGGAGCAGGCUAAGGGGGAAAAGUUUGUUUGGGAAAGCCGGUAAAAUUCCUCAUGUAUGUCGGCCUUAUGGCACUUCUAAGACUGCUAAAAGUAAGUGACUACUGGAGGAAGGGAUCACACCUGAGUGUUCUCUUUCCUGCUUCUGUCAUGACAAGAGACAGGUUCAUGGCAAUCAGCAGAGCUGUACAUCUGAGCGACCCAGACCAUGAUGAAUCUUGAUACAUUUCCUUUGCUCUUUAUAUAUUUUUCUAAUAUUUUGGUUAUAGUUUGAAGAUCAUUUGCUCUUUGUACUUUCGCACUUUCUAUAUAUUCCUAAUACUUUGUUUAUAGUUUUAAUAUAAUUUGCACUUUGUUAAUUUGCACUUUGAAUUUGUUUCACUGUUUGUGUUUGUAUUUCAAUGUUCAAAUUAUAAUAUAUAUCUCUGAAACAAGUUAUUUUUGUUGCAAUGUCAUCUGUUAUGGUUUAAUUGUUUACUCUCUCAACCUUUUUUUGACAGAAGAAACAUGAUCAGUCAUUUAAAUAUGGAAAUACAUUUCGUUUUAAUUAUUCCAUAUGAUCCUAGGAGUUUUUCACUGAAAAACGCCUAGGAUAAUAUUGUAAUAAAUAGCUGUAACUUGCUCAGGGAACAUAAUAUGCAGAUGAAAUUUAAUUUGAAAGCCUAAAACAUCUAAAUGCAGCUUUGUAAAUAAUAAAAAAGAAAAUCCCUAUGUUCCUGGCGGAGUAAACAGUAAAAAAACACAACAUUUGUACUGGCGUUUUUGAAAAGUGCUGGUAAAUUCAGCCAUUAUCACACAAAGUUAUGGUAAAAUUUGGACUUCAAAUUAGCCAGACUUGAACUAGAGGUUCUCCUGAAUCAAAUGAGGUAAGGCACUUGAUGCUGACUGCAAGAAAAGGUUAGAACAGGUUAGGAGAAACAAAUAAAUACAGGAGAGUCAGGCAGGCGAAAAUUCCGUCUAGGUCUUUAAGGGUUAAUGUGUAGUU